AUGGGUCUCUUGUCGCUCAUCACUGGCAGGCCGGGCGCGAGCGGGUUCGGGUCGGCGUCCACGGCGGAGCAGGUCACCGACGGCGUCGACGCCUCAAACCUCACCGUCAUCAUCACAGGAGGGCCUAGCGGGAUCGGCCUGGAGACGUCGAGGGUCUUCGCCCUGAGAGGAGCCCAUGUCAUCAUCGCGGCGAGGAACACGGAGGCCGCGUCGGAGGCGAAGAAGAGCAUAACGGAGGCGAACCCGACCGCACGCGUCGACGUCCUGAAGCUCGACCUCAGCUCCCUCAAGUCCGUCAGGGCCUUCGCCGAGCAGUUCAACUCCAUGAACCUCCCUCUCAACAUCUUGAUAAACAAUGCAGGUGUGAUGUUCUGCCCCUUCCAGCUGUCCGAGGAUGGCGUCGAGAUGCAGUUCGCCACCAAUCACCUAGGUCACUUUCUGCUGACCAACCUGCUGCUUGAUAACAUGAAAGCCACUGCUGAGUCUACGGGUAUCGAGGGCCGCAUCGUGAACCUGUCAUCGAUCGCCCACGAGCAUACCUAUCCGAAGGGAAUUCAGUUCGAUAAACUCAAUGACAAGAAAACAUUCGACAGAAGGUCGGCCUAUGGACAAUCCAAGCUUGCCAACAUACUACACGCUAAAGAGCUCUCUAGACGCCUCAAGGAGGAAGGAGCUAACAUCACGGUUAAUUCCCUUCAUCCUGGAGUAAUCAUGACCAAUUUGAUGAGGCACUCCUAUGCUGUCAUGAAGGCAAUUCAAGUUGCCACUUGCUUGAUCUGGAAGAAUGUACCCCAGGGAGCAGCAACCACCUGCUAUGUAGGGCUCAGCCAUCAGCUGAAGGGGGUUACAGGCAAAUACUUUGCUGACUGCAACGAGGAGAAGACGAGCAAAUUGGCAGAGAGCGACGUCCUGGCGAAGCAACUCUGGGAGUUCAGCGAAGAGCUGGUCAAGUCUGCGAGUCAGAUAUGA
rnacentral:rRNA from 1 species